rnacentral:rRNA from 1 species
GAUGAACGCUAGCGGCAGGCUUAAUACAUGCAAGUCGUGGGGCAGCAUGAGUAGCAAUACUUGAUGGCGACCGGCAAACGGGUGAGGAACACGUACACAACCUUCCUUCAAGCGGGGAAUAGCCCAGAGAAAUUUGGAUUAAUACCCCCAUAAUAUAUUUGAUAAGGCAUCUUAUUAAUAUUAAAGCUUCGGCACUUGAUGAUGGGUGUGCGGCUGAUUAGAUAGUUGGCGGGUAACGGCCCACCAAGUCUACGAUCAGUAGCUGAUGUGAGAGCAUGAUCAGCCACACGGGCACUGAGACACGGGCCCGACUCCUACGGGAGGCAGCAGUAAGGAAUAUUGGACAAUGGACGAAAGUCUGAUCCAGCCAUGCCGCGUGAAGGAUUAAGGUCCUCUGGAUUGUAAACUUCUUUUAUAUGGGACGAAAAAAGGGCAUUCUUGUUCACUUGACGGUACCAUAUGAAUAAGCACCGGCUAACU